rnacentral:rRNA from 1 species
UAGUAGCGGCGAGCGAACAGGCAAGAGCCCAGCACCGAAUCCCGCGGCCGAUGUCGGCCGCCGGGAAAUGUGGUGUUAGGGAGGACCCACCAUCCCGAGACCGUGCGGCGCGUCCAAGUCCUUCUUGAACGGGGCCACAGCCCAGAGAGGGUGCCAGGCCCGUAGCGACCGCCGCCAGUCACGGGAGGGUCUCUCUCCAGAGUCGGGUUGCUUGAGAGUGCAGCCCCAAGUGGGUGGUAAACUCCAUCUAAGGCUAAAUACGACCACGAGACCGAUAGCGAACAAGUACCGUGAGGGAAAGUUGAAAAGCACUUUGAAGAGAGAGUUCAAGAGUACGUGAAACCGUUCAGGGGUAAACCUGAGAAGCCCGAAAGUCGAGGGGGGAGAUUCAUCGCUUUUCGCUUCGGCAGCGGUGGGCUGGCAGCAGGUGCACAUGGCGUGUCGCUUCGGUGGCGCGUUGCGUGCUCCGCGCCAGUCUUGCCGUCAAUUGUCAGCGAGAGUGUGCACUUCUCCCCCGGUAGAACGUUGCGAUCCGUUGGGUGUCGGUCUACGGCCCACAGUGGAGCCCGUACAGUGUGGCUCACGUCACACCGUUCGGACCUGUGGUGUUUUCCUGGCCGACUCGCCCGACGGUAUACACACACGGCGCAGAGCCGCAGCCCUUCGGGGUGCUGCGUCCGGCCCGCUGCAAGCGUGCCCGGUGCUCGCUGGUGAUCGGACCUCGUGCCGUUCCCGGCCGCCGGCGCCUGUUGGCAGCGGUCGCCUCGGACCGACUCUGUCUGCCUCGCGGCAUUGUCGCGGGGUAGUCGCCAAUCCGCAGCGAUGCAGGUUGGGGCACUUUCAGGACCCGUCUUGAAACACGGACCAAGGAGUCUAGCAUGUGCGCAAGUCAUUGGGCCGCACGAAGCCCACAGGCGUAAUGAAAGUGAAGGCGCGCCUUGCGCACGCCAAGGGAAGAUGGGUGUUCUGUUGCUGGGUGUUAAAGCCUAGUGCGCGCCCCGCACUCCCGGGGCGUCUCGUUCUCAUUGCGAGAGGAGGCGCACCCAGAGCGUACACGCUGGGACCCGAAAGAUGGUGAACUAUGCCUGGUCAGGACGAAGCCAGGGGAAACCCUGGUGGAGGUCCGUAGCGAUUCUGACGUGCAAAUCGAUCGUCGGAACUGGGUAUAGGGGCGAAAGACUAAUCGAACCAUCUAGUAGCUGGUUCCCUCCGAAGUUUCCCUCAGGAUAGCUGGCGCUCGUAGCGCACGAGUCUCAUCUGGUAAAGCGAAUGAUUAGAGGCCUUGGGGUCGAAACGACCUCAACCUAUUCUCAAACUUUAAAUGGGUGAGAUCUCCGGCUUGCUCGAAGCAUGAAGCCGCGAGAGGGCGGGUCGAUGGCGUGCCGGUGUGCGAUCGGAUCAGAGUGCCAAGUGGGCCAUUUUUGGUAAGCAGAACUGGCGCUGUGGGAUGAACCAAACGCCGAGCUAAAGCGCCCAAAUCGACGCUUAUGGGAUACCAUGAAAGGCGUUGGUAACUUAAGACAGCAGAACGGUGGCCAUGGAAGUCGGAAUCCGCCAAGGAGUGUGUAACAACUCACCUGCCGAAGUUACUAGCCCUGAAAAUGGAUGGCGCUGAAGCGUCGUGCUUAUGCUCGGCCGUCAGCGGCAUGUGCGGUGGGCGCGUGUUGAGCGUGCUCGCCAUGAAGCCCUGACGAGUAGGAGGGUCGCGGCGGUGUGCGCAGAAGGGCUGGCCGUGAGGCCGCCUGGAGCCGCCGCCGGUGCAGAUCUUGGUGGUAGUAGCAAAUACUCCAGCGAGGCCCUGGAGGACUGACGUGGAGAAGGGUUUCGUGUGAACAGCCGUUGCACACGAGUCAGUCGAUCCUAAGCCCUAGGCGAAAGCCGAUGUUGAUGUGGUGUACGCUUACAAAUAAUAAUAUAUAAAAUUGAUUGAUUGCGAACACACCCGUUGGGCGAAAGGGAAUCCGGUUCCUAUUCCGGAACCCGGCAGCGGAACCGCAACCCAGUCGGGCCCUCGUUCGCGAGUGUUCGUCGGGGCAACCCAAAAAGACCCGGAGACGCCGGCGGGAGACCCGGGAAGAGUUUUCUUUUCUGCAUGAGCGCUCGAGUUCCAUGGAAUCCUCUAGCAGGGAGAUAUGGUUUGGAGCGCGAAGAGCACCGCAUUUGCAGCGGUGUCCGGGUCUUCCCCCCGGACCUUGAAAAUCCGGGAGAGGGCCACGUGGAGGCAUCGCGCCGGUUCGUACCCAUAUCCGCAGCAGGUCUCCAA